rnacentral:rRNA from 1 species
GACGAACGCUGGCGGCGUGCCUAAUACAUGCAAGUAGAAGCUAGUUGCGAACGGGUGAGUAACGCGUAGGAACCUGCCUCAUAGCGGGGGAUAACUAUUGGAAACGAUAGCUAAUACCGCAUACUGUGAGAUGGACCUGCGUUGUAUUAGCUAGUUGGUGGGGUAACGGCUCACCAAGGCGACGAUCCGUAGCUGGUUUGAGAGGACGACCAGCCACAAUGGGACGGAGACACGGCCCAGACUCCAACGGGAGGCAGCAGUGGGGAAUUUUGGACAAUGGGGGAAACCCUGAUCCAGCCAUCCCGCGUGUGCGAUGAAGGCCUUCGGGUUGUAAAGCACUUUUGGCAGGAAAGCGGUACCUGCAGAAUAAGUACCGGCUAACUACGUGCCAGCCGCCGCGGUAAUUC